rnacentral:lncRNA from 1 species
AAGCAGCAUCAAUGCAGACUAAUUGGAUUUUGAUUAUUUUAUCCGUCUUGGUGACCAUGGGACUGCUGAUGGUGGCCCAGAGCCAGUAUCAACUGAAGAGCAUUCUGGACAGCAAGAUUAAAAAAAUGGAUGUAGCGUUUGAGCAAUUUACUGUUGACUAUCUAAGUAAGGACGUCUUCAAAACCUCUGUGGAAAAACUGCUGGUUCAGAGCCAGGAAGAAGUGAAUAAUCUGGAAGCUGCACUCAAUAAACUCAGUUCAGAAACGGAGCAGAAGAAAAUGGAAAACGAUGCAUGCCAAGAACAAAUGAAAACCACACAAGUAGAGCUGGAAAGUAUCCAAAAGACACAAAGUGAAACUAAAGCUUCCUUGGAUGCAGAGGUUGAGGCCUGGACUAAGGAGAUUAACACUCUGAAAGAAAUACAGACACAAUACAGUCCAGUAUGUGCCUAUGUGAAGACGAGCAAGUUAGCUGAGAAAUUCUGUGGCAUAAACACAAACAAUGAAACAGCUUCGGAUAAGGAUAAAACCAAUGAGAAUAAACAGCAGCUCAGCAGGUGGUUUAAAUCUCCAAAUCUUUGUAGCUGCUAGAAAAGCCUGGAUGCAUAGAGGCGUGGGACUAAUGUAAAGAAACUCCAGAGGAAAGCAGUGAAGUGUGUGACACGGAUGGUAAAUGGCUGUUUAAUAAGUCACUUAUUUAGCAAGGAAGAAUUUGUUUGGAAAAUAUUAUUUUAGUUUCUAAUAAACUGAGGGCAUCAGGUUUGGAUGUACAAUGUGGAGGAAAUGUUUAAUGUACCCCCCAAAAAAUGUUAUUUCAAAUAAAAUGAUUAUGCACGGUUAAAGUUAGUUAAAAUAGCAAAUUUAAUAAUCUUUCGUGUAAGUUAAAAUUAAGAAUCGGACAUAUAACUACAAAAACCUAAUCUUAAAGUACGCUUUCUUUCUUGAAUCCAGAAAUAAGCACUUUACGCCACAAUAAAGUCGGUGUUGC